UGUAAACGAUGUCGAUUUGGAGUUUGUUGCCUAGAGUGAUGGGCUCCGAAGCUAACGCGAUAAAUCGACCGCUGGGGAGUACGGCCGCAAGGUUAAAACUCAAAUGAAUUGACGGGGGCCCGCACAAGCGGUGGAGCAUGUGGUUUAAUUCGAUGCAACGCGAAGAACCUUACCUGGUCUUGACAUCCAUAGAAUUCUGCAGAGAUGUGGGAGUGCCUUCGGGAACUAUGAGACAGGUGCUGCAUGGCUGUCGUCAGCUCGUGCUGUGAAAUGUUGGGUUAAGUCCCGCAACGAGCGCGACCCUUAUUCUUUGUUGCCAGCGAUUUGGUCGGGAACUCAAAGGAGACUGCCGUUGAUAAAGCGGAGGAAGGUGGGGACGACGUCAGGUCAUCAUGGCCCUUACGACCAGGGCUACACACGUGCUACAAUGGCGUAUACAAAGGGAAGCGAAGGUGCGAGCUGGAGCGGAUCUCAUAAAGUACGUCUAAGUUCGGAUUGGAGUCUGCAACUCGACUCCAUGAAGUCGGAAUCGCUAGUAAUCGUAGAUCAGAAUGCUACGGUGAAUACGUUCCCGGGCCUUGUACACACCGCCCGUCACACCAUGGGAGUGGGUUGCACCAGAAGUAGAUAGCUUAACCGCGAGGGGGGCGUUUACCACGGUGUGAUUCAUGACUGGGGUGAAGUCGUAACAAGGUAACCA
rnacentral:rRNA from 1 species